rnacentral:rRNA from 1 species
AGGACGAACGCUGGCGGCGUGCUUAACACAUGCAAGUCGAGCGGAAAGGCCCUUCGGGGUACUCGAGCGGCGAACGGGUGAGUAACACGUGAGUAAUCUGCCCAUCGCUUCAGGAUAGCCAUCGGAAACGGUGAUUAAUCUGGAUAUGACAUUCCUUCGCAUGUUGGGGUGUGGAAAGGUUUUUUCGGCGGUGGAUGUGCUCGCGGCUAUCAGCUUGGUGGUGGGUAAGUGGCUACAAGGCUUUGCGGGUAGCCGGCUGAGAGGGUGCCGGCAACGACGUGGACUGAGA